rnacentral:tRNA from 1 species
GGAGAUUUAGCUCAGUGGUAGAGCGCAUGCCUAGCAAUCACAAGGCCCUGGGUUCGGUCCCCAGCUCCA